rnacentral:rRNA from 1 species
AUGCCGCCGAGGAAGGCCCCGAAGAGCAAGACAGGGUUCUUCGGCACGAGGGCGAAGCCCUCCGGCAACUUCAGGGUGGAGUUCAGCGACGCCGGCCAUCGCUUUUGACUCGACACCUACCCCACCGUCCACAAGGCCGCGCGUGUCUAUGACGUGGCAGUGUGGCGUGCCGGGAGGCCGAGGAACGACCUCAACUUCCCGGAGAUCGAGACCCAGGCGGAUGCGGAGUUGCUCAUGCCGAGAGGCAUUCGCAUGGAGGAGAUCACGACAAAGAAGAUGAAGAAGAGGCCCACCAUUGACAUUAGUCCCGGCGAUAGCAGCGACGCGGUGAUGGCGAGGUUCGUGCGUGAGCAUCCAGAGCAUGUGCAGGCUGAGCAGGAGUUCUUCUGGAAGCGCGACGCGGAGAAGAAGAAGAAGAAGAAGAAGAAGAAGAAGAAGAAGAAGAAGAAGAAGAAGAAGAAGAAGAAGAAGGAUGAGGCAGGCCCCUCGACGGUGAUCCCCGUUGAGUCUGACUCGUUGGAUUGGGGUGAAUCGGAGGAGGAGGACGAGGGGUGCGAUGACCUGGACAAGGAUGAGUUAUGGGCGCAGUUUUCACACCUUCCGAUGAUGAGUAGUUUUAUUAUCUUCAGUGUAGUUCAAGUAGUAGUUUGA